rnacentral:rRNA from 1 species
UACGUAGGGGUCAAGCGUUGUCCGGAUUUAUUGGGCGUAAAGAGCGUGUAGGCGGCCAUACAGGUCCGUUGUGAAAACUGGAGGCUCAACCUCCAGACGUCGACGGAAACCGUAUGGCUAGAGUCCGGAAGAGGAGAGUGGAAUUCCUGGUGUAGCGGUGAAAUGCGCAGAUAUCAGGAAGAACACCCGUGGCGAAGGCGGCUCUCUGGGACGGUACUGACGCUGAGACGCGAAAGCGUGGGGAGCAAACAGG